rnacentral:lncRNA from 1 species
AGGCUGCCAAAAUGGCCAAAUAUUCAGGCUAUCAAAAAGUAUGUGAUACAAUUUUCGCUAUUUUCACCAUACUGUGGAUAACCACAAGGAUAGGAAUUUUCCCGUUCUGGAUUAUUCGAAACACAUGGGUAGAUGCACCUCAAAUUAUUCCAAUGUUCCCGUGUUUUCAUUACUUACAAAUGCUCCUAAUGCUUUUAAUGGUGCUCCACUGUUUUUGGACUUACCUGAUUUUGAAAGCAGUACACGCUGUUGUUAUAGUUGGCCAUGCAGAGAGUGAUAUUCGCUCCAGUAGUGAAUAUAGUGAAGAUUGAAAAUCUCAGUGAUUAGAUCUAAGAUUGGUCCUUUCAAGGAACUCUUGGAAAAUAUCAGACCGGUUGUUUCGUACAUUUUCUUAUUGAAUUCCACUUAAUACCGGAAAUGGGUUCAGUUGAGUAUGGAAUACGAUUAAUGAGGUUAACUCGGAACUGAUCAAUUUACAGUCAUAUAGUCUUUUUUUGAAGAACAAAUUUUGGAUUGAUGGAAGAUUUGGGAUUGGGCUUUGCUUGCUGAGAAAUUGAUUUUAAAAAUAUUUUCAGGUUUCUGAAAAACAGUUAGCCUUGACGGUGAAGCAUAACCAAAAUGUCUCCUUUUUUUCGUGAUGAUUUGAAAUAUUACUGAAACAAGUCGUUCACGAUGGAAAGUUGUGGAAGUUUUCGCUACUUUGACUAAAUGACCAUUUUUUGAGGUUAGACAUAAUGACUUGUAUUUACUUGUAAACGAACUUUUACACCAACUUACAUAUGUAAUAGUACCUCGUUUUAUAUUCUUUACAAUUUAUUUUGUCGGUAGUUUUUCAAAAUCAAAUAAAAACCAUGGUGGUGACGUCACUAACAUUUGAUAUGAAUUUGGCAACACUGUGAAACCUUUUCAUAUUGAAUAAUUCAAUUUUCUUCUUCUUCCUGAAUUCUUUUUGUUCUGUGGUCUGUGAAUUUUAUUUGUGAUUUAAAUGAUUCAAAGUCGUUGAAUAUUUUUACCACAAUUUGAAAAAUCAAUAUAUUUGGGAGUAUAAUAAUUGAAUUUUGAUCAUAUGCGUAAUUUUUUCAAGACUUGACUACAAACCUAGAAUUUGACAGGGCGACAGAUGAUUAGUGAAAUUGCCUGUCUUGAAAAAUAAUAAUAACUAGCAAAGAAACGUUUUGGCUUUCUACUUCUCCAUCUUCAUAAAAAAACUUUGAAAUCUUCUAAGGAAAGGAAGAAAGCAAUUAAUUUCAAAAUAAACUCUACAAACAUGUGUAGAUCAUGUAAAGAAGUAACUUUCAUAAACAAACUCGAAGAAAAACCCCUUUUGAAACAGCUACUUCUGUAUGACAUUGAAUUAUACAAAAAACACUUUUUCCUGUUCAGUUUCUACUCCAAACAUUCGUUGUGGAAUUGAAUCAGAUAACAUUCACAGGAUUGAUACAAAAUAUGGUAUUACAACACCAAAGGUUCCAAACAGUGCAUCACAAGUACAGAAUAUGGUAUAUGAAAGAGGUAAAAUUUUAUUUUCAUAGAACACUGUCAUCCUCAAUGGUGGAUAUCCAAUGUAUGGAAAAAAUGCACUUACCUUAUUGCAUUUUUAGCACUAAUCUGGACGGCAUUACAAGAUGAAGCACUCAAUUAAUUCAUAAAAUUACUUCAUAAAUGUGACGGAUGAGUUAAAUCUACUCAUGAUAUUGACGACAGUACGUAAUGACAUUCAUUCGCUUAUUUGAUUCAAUCCCAGCCAUAGGAAUCUUGUUCAAAUUGAAUGGGGUAUACUUUUAAGAGUGAUUAAUUUUUGGGAAAGAAAAGUUUUGGCGUCCAAAACAACAAAAAUUAGUUUAGGUCAAUGGUAUUAUUGUUAUUUCACUUUUAGAUAAAAUAACAUUAACACAAAGAUGUUUUUUAUGUAAAUGUAUUAUACUAAAUUAAUAAGAUUGACUGAUGAGUGGAAUCAAAAUAUGAAUCCAGGAUUUCCAUGAAAGGUUAAUACAUCUAGGGUGAAGGGAUAACGGGCAAUGUAUGAAUUAUCUAGCUUUGAAUAAUGGGAACUGGUGUGAAACAUAUUUUACUGUUUUUUAUACAUGUAAUGGGUAUUAAAGGUGAUGGAAAUGAAUAAAAGAAACAAAUAAAAUAAGGAAUGAUCAUCAAUAAAU